rnacentral:rRNA from 1 species
AACGAACGCUGGCGGCAUGCCUAACACAUGCAAGUCGAACGAGACCUUCGGGUCUAGUGGCGCACGGGUGCGUAACGCGUGGGAACCUGCCCUUAGGUUCGGAAUAACUCCCCGAAAGGGGUGCUAAUACCGGAUAAUGUCUUCGGACCAAAGAUUUAUCGCCUUUGGAUGGGCCCGCGUUGGAUUAGCUAGUUGGUAGGGUAAAAGCCUACUAAGGCGACGAUCCAUAGCUGGUCUGAGAGGAUGAUCAGCCACACUGGGACUGAGACACGGCCCAGACUCCUACGGGAAGCAGCAGUGGGGAAUAUUGGACAAUGGGCGAAAGCCUGAUCCAGCAAUGCCGCGUGAGUGAUGAAGGCCUUAGGGUUGUAAAGCUCUUUUACCCGGGAUGAUAAUGACAGUACCGGGAGAAUAAGCUCCGGCUAACUCCGUG